rnacentral:rRNA from 1 species
UACGUAGGGGGCAAGCGUUGUCCGGAUUUAUUGGGCGUAAAGAGCGUGUAGGCGGCCAGAUAGGUCCGUUGUGAAAACUCGAGGCUCAACCUCGAGACGCCGAUGGAAACCAUUUGGCUAGAGUCCGGAAGAGGAGAGUGGAAUUCCUGGUGUAGCGGUGAAAUGCGCAGAUAUCAGGAGGAACACCGAUGGCGAAGGCAGCUCGCUGGGACGGUACUGACGCUGAGGCGCGAAAGCGUGGGGAGCGAACAGG